rnacentral:rRNA from 1 species
GAUCAUGGCUCAGGACGAACGCUGGCGGCGUGCUUAACACAUGCAAGUCGAACGGGGCACCCCGGGAACGAGGUUUCGGCCAAGUGAAGGGAAUGCUUAGUGGCGGACUGGUGAGUAACGCGUGAGGAACCUGCCUUCCAGAGGGGGGACAACAGUUGGAAACGACUGCUAAUACCGCAUGAUAUAUUUGAGGGGCAUCCCUUGAAUAUCAAAGAUUUAUCGCUGGAAGAUGGCCUCGCGU